rnacentral:rRNA from 1 species
UACGUAGGGUGCAAGCGUUAAUCGGAAUGACUGGGCGUAAAGGGUGCGCAGGCGGUUUGUUAAGACGGAUGUGAAAGCCCCAGGCUCAACCUGGGAAUGGCAUACGUGACUGACAAACUAGAAUAUGGCAGAGGGAGGCGGAAUUCCAUGUGUAGCAGUGAAAUGCGUAGAGAUGUGGAGGAACACCGAUGGCGAAGGCAGCCUCCUGGGCCAAUAUUGACGCUCAGGCACGAAAGCGUGGGGAGCAAACAGG